UAGUAUAAUUGCAACAGGCAUCACUUAUGGUUAGCUAGCUCACCUCCAUUUAAUAUCAACCUCCAAUCAUCUCUUCUCAUCAUCUAAAUCUAACCCCAUAGUUUUCCUGAAAGACCACUAUCAUGUCAUCGUCCGAGCUCUCAUCGGCUUCCUCAUCAGCCACGACCUCUACAUUAUCAUCAGCAGAUAACAGCAGCAGCAGCUGCAUCAGCAGCACUUGUUCACCCACUAAUAGCAAAGAUUAUGAACACCGCCACAUCCUCUCAGUAUCCAAGUCCAAAUCAGAUAGACUUUUAGGCAAAUUUUUCGACGCCUUAGAGUUUGAUUUCGAUUACGAAAGAAGCAGCCUUUGGUCCCCUCCGAUUCGUCGCAGUGUGUUCUUGACUUCUCCUGGCAUUAUCAUUUGCUCUGAUGAUUAUAACAUGCUUGUUGAACUUCAUAGCUCGAAAAGAAAGAAAAAGAAGAAGAAGAUGAAUUUUUCUUUCAUUUCUUGCAGAAGGUUCUUGUCAUGCUUCAAUGUCUUUUGGUGCUGUUAAGGAACAUUUUGAUUUUGGUCCACCUGAAGGCUGGAGGCUGAAGCCAGUCCCUUUGUUUCUCUCACUCUUUUGCAGCUGGUGGGUCUAAAGUACGAGUUUUGUAGUAGUAAUUUUAAUGUGUAGUGUAAAUUGUGUAAGACUUUGUAUUUUUCCAAUUACUUUUGCUUAUUUGUUCUUUUCUCUCUUUUAUACUUUAUCAAUGUAUACCAUGCUUUUUAAACAUGAAGCCAGAAUGUUAAGGCUUGGAGAUAGACUGAUAAUGAUAGUGAUAUAUCUCAUUGAAGACAGAAUGUUAAGGGUGCUACCUUCAAAUUUUCUAUGCAUAUUGUUUUGAA